GUGGUACGUGUUACGGUGUACCGUGGUCUAUUGCACACUGUAUCGUAACGGAGCUAACGUGCGCUGGAUUUCCAAAUUUGCUUUAAGAGCAUCUCCAUCGGCAAAAGUGGUAGAGAGUAUCUCAAAAAAUAAAUAAUUAAUAUUUUAAUUAAAUU
rnacentral:sRNA from 1 species